ACACACAGACCGCCUUAAUGAUGUCAUCCUUAGUCCUUCCUUUUUUCUCAUUCAUUACUCCAACAUCUCUGCUCUCAUCAACGGGAUGGCCAAGGAAGGAGGAGGUCACGCUCAGUUCAUCACAGGGACUGACAGGAUGCAACCAAAAGUGAUGCAGUCGCUGCAUUUUUCUCUGCAACCAGCAGUGGAAGAUGUUUCUGUUACAUGGGAUUUACCAAAGGGAUCCACUAUCACUGUCCUCUCUCCACCAAUCACAUCAUUUUUCCAGGGUCAAAGGUCACUAAUUUAUGCCCAGCUCACUGGACAGAGCUCAGAGGCAGCAGAGGGCUGUGUGACGCUGAAGUACAGCCUGGCAGGUCAUCGCUCUGAGAAUCAGCUGCACUUCAGUCUCUGCAGAGGACUCUGGCUUAAUAGUCCACAGGUUAGCUGCUCGGACUCUUAUUUGCUUGCUAGAGAUGAAAGCAGAAAACAAUGAGGAAA